UACUGGAUUUCAUGCACCGAUCCAAUACCACGUAAUAAAGCCCUAAAGAAAGUCUACAUUAAAGUAGUUUAUUUAUGUUCUUUUUUCAUUAUAACUGACUGUCAAACUGGAUGAAAAAAAAAAGAAAGUUCUGGGGUGUUCACUGUUUGUGUUUGUUCAUGUCUCACAAAGAGUUUAACCUGAACCGGACUGACAACAAAGAUACAAAUCAUAUCACAUCCAUACAGGGAUAGUAGUGUACAGCCGUUACACAUC